CCUUAGUGACUGCGGAGGGACAUUACACAAUAAAAUACGAAGGCCGUUCGCGGCUGGACUAUUUAUUACCCUUGUCUUUUGCGCACUUGUUGUUUCCUGGGCGGGUUCGCUCGCCACCAGGACCACAAUAUAAACCUUUUUUAUGCAGUUGCAAUCAGCGUCAGUAUAACAAAUGUAAAUCAUUUACAACUUUCAACAACGGAUCUCUUGGUUCUGGCAUCGAUGAAGAACGCAGCGAAAUGCGAUACGUAGUGUGAAUUGCAGAAUUCAGUGAAUCAUCGAAUCUUUGAACGCACAUUGCGCCCUUUGGUAUUCCAAAGGGCAUGCCUGUUCGAGCGUCAUUUGUACCCUCAAGCUUUGCUUGGUGUUGGGCGUUUUUGUCUUUGGCCCGCCAAAGACUCGCCUUAAAAUGAUUGGCAGCCGGCCUACUGGUUUCGCAGCGCAGCACAUUUUUGCGCUUGCAAUCAGCAAAAGAGGACGGCAAUCCAUCAAGACUCCUUCUCACGUUUGACCUCGGAUCAGGUAGGGAUACCCGCUGAACUUAAGCAUAUCAAA
rnacentral:rRNA from 1 species